rnacentral:rRNA from 1 species
UUGAGUGAGUGGCGGACGGGUGAGUAACACGUGGGUAACCUGCCCAAAAGUGGGGGAUAACAUCUGGAAACAGGUGCUAAUACCGCAUAACAACUACUUUCACAUGAUCGUAGCUUGAAAGAUGGCUCUGCUAUCGCUUUUGGAUGGACCCGCGGCGUAUUAGCUAGUUGGUGAGGUAACGGCUCACCAAGGCAAUGAUACGUAGCCGACCUGAGAGGGUAAUCGGCCACAUUGGGACUGAGACACGGCCCAAACUCCUACGGGAGGCAGCAGUAGGGAAUCUUCCACAAUGGGCGAAAGCCUGAUGGAGCAAUGCCGCGUGAGUGAAGAAGGUUUUCGGAUCGUAAAACUCUGUUGUUGAAGAAGAACAUGCGUGAGAGUAACUGUUCACGUACUGACGGUAUUCAACCAGAAAGCCACGGCUAACUACGUGCCAGCAGCCGCGGUAAUACGUAGGU